GUGAGGGUGGCAGAAAAUUAAUGUGUUAGAUUUAGGUUCUAAAUAAUAAAAAGUUCUAUCUUUUUCCCUGAUA
rnacentral:tRNA from 1 species